AACGAACGCUGGCGGCAGGCUUAACACAUGCAAGUCGAACGCCCCGCAAGGGGAGUGGCAGACGGGUGAGUAACGCGUGGGAACAUACCCUUUUCUACGGAAUAGCUCUGGGAAACUGGAAUUAAUACCGUAUACGACCUACGGGGGAAAGAUUUAUCGGGGAAGGAUUGGCCCGCGUUGGAUUAGCUAGUUGGUGGGGUAAAGGCCUACCAAGGCGACGAUCCAUAGCUGGUCUGAGAGGAUGAUCAGCCACAUUGGGACUGAGACACGGCCCAAACUCCUACGGGAGGCAGCAGUGGGGAAUAUUGGACAAUGGGCGCAAGCCUGAUCCAGCCAUGCCGCGUGAGUGAUGAAGGCCUUAGGGUUGUAAAGCUCUUUCACCGAUGAAGAUAAUGACGGUAGUCGGAGAAGAAGCCCCGGCUAACUUCGUG
rnacentral:rRNA from 1 species